rnacentral:rRNA from 1 species
UGGAUGAACGCUAGCUACAGGCUUAACACAUGCAAGUCGAGGGGCAGCAUUUCAGUUUGCUUGCAAACUGGAGAUGGCGACCGGCGCACGGGUGAGUAACACGUAUCCAACCUGCCGAUAACUCGGGGAUAGCCUUUCGAAAGAAAGAUUAAUACCCGAUGGUAUAAUCAGACCGCAUGGUCUUGUUAUUAAAGAAUUUCGGUUAUCGAUGGGGAUGCGUUCCAUUAGGCAGUUGGUGAGGUAACGGCUCACCAAACCUUCGAUGGAUAGGGGUUCUGAGAGGAAGGUCCCCCACAUUGGAACUGAGACACGGUCCAAACUCCUACGGGAGGCAGCAGUGAGGAAUAUUGGUCAAUGGGCGCAGGCCUGAACCAGCCAAGUAGCGUGAAGGAUGACUGCCCUAUGGGUUGUAAACUUCUUUUAUAUGGGAAUAAAGUUUUCCACGUGUGGAAUUUUGUAUGUACCAUAUGAAUAAGGAUCGGCUAACUCCGUGCCAGCAGCCGCGGUAAUACGGAGGAUCCGAGCGUUAUCCGGAUUUAUUGGGUUUAAAGGGAGCGUAGGUGGACAGUUAAGUCAGUUGUGAAAGUUUGCGGCUCAACCGUAAAAUUGCAGUUGAUACUGGCUGUCUUGAGUACAGUAGAGGUGGGCGGAAUUCGUGGUGUAGCGGUGAAAUGCUUAGAUAUCACGAAGAACUCCGAUUGCGAAGGCAGCUCACUGGACUGCAACUGACACUGAUGCUCGAAAGUGUGGGUAUCAAACAGGAUUAGAUACCCUGGUAGUCCACACAGUAAACGAUGAAUACUCGCUGUUUGCGAUAUACAGUAAGCGGCCAAGCGAAAGCAUUAAGUAUUCCACCUGGGGAGUACGCCGGCAACGGUGAAACUCAAAGGAAUUGACGGGGGCCCGCACAAGCGGAGGAACAUGUGGUUUAAUUCGAUGAUACGCGAGGAACCUUACCCGGGCUUAAAUUGCAUUUGAAUAUAUUGGAAACAGUAUAGCCGUAAGGCAAAUGUGAAGGUGCUGCAUGGUUGUCGUCAGCUCGUGCCGUGAGGUGUCGGCUUAAGUGCCAUAACGAGCGCAACCCUUAUCUUUAGUUACUAACAGGUCAUGCUGAGGACUCUAGAGAGACUGCCGUCGUAAGAUGUGAGGAAGGUGGGGAUGACGUCAAAUCAGCACGGCCCUUACGUCCGGGGCUACACACGUGUUACAAUGGGGGGUACAGAAGGCAGCUACCUGGUGACAGGAUGCUAAUCCCAAAAGCCUCUCUCAGUUCGGAUCGAAGUCUGCAACCCGACUUCGUGAAGCUGGAUUCGCUAGUAAUCGCGCAUCAGCCAUGGCGCGGUGAAUACGUUCCCGGGCCUUGUACACACCGCCCGUCAAGCCAUGAAAGCCGGGGGUACCUGAAGUACGUAACCGCAAGGAGCGUCCUAGGGUAAAACUG